CAGAUGUAGUUCAGUGGUAGAACACAACCUUGCCAAGGUUGCUAUGCGGGUUCGAUUCCCGUCAUCUG
rnacentral:tRNA from 1 species